ACCCGCCCAUAUGUUUUGACUACCCUAUUUAGAGCUAGGGUUCUCAAUCUCAAUCUCGUCCUUUAUCACAAUCGCUACCCUAAGUAUAUUGCGAGGUUGUCAUUUUUCUGUUUCUUCAUUCAUCAUCGACGAAGAGCACGUUGCUUGGUUGCUGGGAAAAGCCACACACAUAUAUCAUACAAGGAAGCUCUGGUUCAACUCAUUCCUUUCUCAUCCACGUACAGGUUUGUUGAUGCUCAUGCACUGUUUUUUCCCUUCUAUUGCUUCAGAGUUAUACAGUUGAUGAGAGCGGCCCAUCCUAAUCAUCAGCAGCCCCUUCAUUUAUUGAUGAGAUCACACAACGUGUGACAUAACACAUUGAGUCUAGGUUCACUACAACGAUCGAGAACCUGACGGCACGUGUUUUGUUCUUAGAGUCACAGGGUGUGGUUGGGAGUAAGAGCUCGAGAGAGGUGCCAGAUGCAUCUAGUGGGCAACAAGCUUCAAAAGAAGAUGAACAAGUUAGCUUCGCAAUUGAUGAACACUUGAGAGUCAAGAAAAGAAAAGCACACACAAGGAUUAAAUGUUCUAAUCCUACUGAUUUUGCACAUUUUUUAGUUUUGAUUUAACACACUAAUAGUUUUUCAAAAUGUAUGUUUUGAUGUGUUUAAUGUCAGGUAUUUGGUUCUUGAUUUAGCAAGCAUAUGUUACUGCUCUGUGUAUGUAAACCUGGAAAAUAUUGACUUGCUUGUUCCCUCUUUCUUUGUUUUGCUAGAUUUGUCUCAAAUAAAUGGUUUGACACUAUUGUUUUCA